UUGGAGGAAGCCAAAUUGGUAGAGAAGUUAUUUUUGGAACUCAAGCUGAGAGGGAGGAGAAACUUAACUCUCCACGAUUUAUGGCUCUUAAAGCUGGGAGAUCUAAGAGAAUCAGAGCAGCAAGAAUUUGGCAUGCAAGCCAAGAUGCUUCGGAAUCUUCUCAAAUUCACUAUGGCUAUGCUCGGAAUAAGCGUAAACGAAAGCAUACAAUCAAAGAUAGUUGUCGUGAUCCAAGUCUUUUCCAAGCUCCACAAUGUCGUAUUUGCCAUUAUACACUGAGUAUGCUCAUUGCUUUCUUUUCUAAAGUUUGUUUUUCUAGUAUCUUGCAGGUGUUUGCAUUUGGUCCACGGUUUUCGUAGUGGGUGUGUUAAUUUCAAGCUUGCUGGGUGGAUCUUUUCUUUUGGUUUUGUCUUCUGAUGGGCUAGUUGGGGAGUAAUGUCUAUGUAUUUUCUUUUGUUUAGG
rnacentral:lncRNA from 1 species